rnacentral:rRNA from 1 species
AGCAUGCAACUGACACUGAGGCACGAAAGCGUGGGUAUCAAACAGGAUUAGAUACCCUGGUAGUCCACGCAGUAAACGAUGAAUACUAGCUGUUGGCGAUAUAAUGUCAGCGGUACAGCGAAAGUGUUAAGUAUUCCACCUGGGGAGUACGCCGGCAACGGUGAAACUCAAAGGAAUUGACGGGGGCCCGCACAAGCGGAGGAACAUGUGGUUUAAUUCGAUGAUACGCGAGGAACCUUACCCGGGCUUGAAAGUUAGUGACGGCGGAUGAAAGUCUGCUUCCCUUCGGGGCACGAAACUAGGUGCUGCAUGGUUGUCGUCAGCUCGUGCCGUGAGGUGUCGGCUUAAGUGCCAUAACGAGCGCAACCCUUGCCGUUAGUUGCCAGCGGGUAAUGCCGGGAACUCUAGCGGGACUGCUACUGUAAGGUAGAGGAAGGUGGGGAUGACGUCAAAUCAGCACGGCCCUUACGUCCGGGGCGACACACGUGAACAAUGGUGAGUACAGAGGGUUGCUACCCCGCGAGGGGAUGCUAAUCUCAUAAAACUCAUCUCAGUUCGGAUCGGAGUCUGCAACUCGACUCCGUGAAGCUGGAUUCGCUA